rnacentral:rRNA from 1 species
GACGAACGCUGGCGGCGUGCUUAACACAUGCAAGUCGAACGGUAAGGCCCUGCUUUUUUGUUGUGUUCGAGUGGCUAACGGGUGAGUAACACGUGAGUAACCUGCCCUUGACUUUGGGAUAACUUCAGGAAACUGGGGCUAAUACCGGAUAGUAGCUCCUGCUGCAUGGUGGGGGUUGGAAAGUUUCGGCGGUUGGGGCUGGACUCGCGGCCUAUCAGCUUGUUGGUGGGGUAGUGGCUUACCAAGGCUUUGACGGAUAGCCGGCAUGAGAGGGUGACCGGCCACAUUGGGACUGAGAUACGGACCAGACUGCUACGGGAGGCAGCAGUGGGGAAUAUUGCACAAUGGGCGGAAGCGUGAUGAAGAAACGCCGCGUGCGGGAUGAAGGCCUUCGGGUGGUAAACCGCUUUAGCCUGUGACGAAGAGUGAGUGACGGUAAUGGGUAAAGAAGCACCGGCUAACUACGUG